rnacentral:rRNA from 1 species
AGAGUUUGAUCCUGGCUCAGAACGAACGCUGGCGGCGUGGAUUAGGCAUGCAAGUCGAACGCGAAAGGGGAGCAAUCCCCGAGUAGAGUGGCGAACGGGUGAGUAACGCGUGAAGAACCUGCCUUCAACAGGGGGAUAACACUCCCAACGGGGUGCUAAUACCGCAUGAGACCACGGGGUCGCAUGGCCCUGAGGUCAAAGGUGGCCUCUAUUUAUAAGCUACCGGUUGAAGAUGGCUUCGCGUCCCAUUAGCUAGUUGGCGGUGUAACGGACCACCAAGGCGACGAUGGGUAGCUGGUCUGAGAGGAUGGUCAGCCACACUGGGACUGAGAUACGGCCCAGACUCCUACGGGAGGCAGCAGUCGAGAGGCUUCGGCAAUGGGGGAAACCCUGACCGAGCGACGCCGCGUGAGGGAUGAAGGCCCUUGGGUUGUAAACCUCUUUUGUUGGGGAAGAAACGCGAUCAGGUGAACAAUCUGGUCGUUUGACGGUACCCGACGAAUAAGCUCCGGCUAACUCCGUGCCAGCAGCCGCGGUAACACGGGGGGAGCAAGCGUUGUUCGGAAUCACUGGGCGUAAAGGGCGUGUAGGCGGUUCGGUAAGUGAGAUGUGAAAUCCCUCGGCUCACCCGAGGACCUGCAUCUCAAACUGCCGGACUAGAGUAUGGGAGAGGACAAGGGAAUUCCUGGUGUAGCGGUGAAAUGCGUAGAUAUCAGGAGGAACACCGGUGGCGAAAGCGCUUGUCUGGCCCAAUACUGACGCUGAGGCGCGAAAGCUAGGGGAGCAAACGGGAUUAGAUACCCCGGUAGUCCUAGCCGUAAACGGUGAUCACUAGGUGUUGGAGGCAUCGACCCCUCCAGUGCCGCAGCUAA